rnacentral:rRNA from 1 species
UAACACCAUUGCAUGUAAUUUUGCUAGAUCUAGCAAGCUAAGCAGAAUUUGCUCUGGUCAGUUCUUGGAUAGGAGACUUCCAAGGAAAUCAUAGGUUCUGUGUGAA